rnacentral:rRNA from 1 species
CCAAUAGCGUAUAUUAAGGUUGCUGCGGUUAAAAAGCUCGUAGUUGAAUUUCGGGAUUGAUGCAUCGGUCGUGCCUUAAGGGGUAUGAACUGGUGUAGCCAAUUUCUUACCUUCUGGUGAAUUGUGAUGUCCUCCUUAAUUGGGUGUUUCAAUGAACUAGGACUUUUUACUUUGAAAAAAUUAGAGUGUUUAAAGCAGGCAUUAUUUGCUUGAAUACAUUAGCAUGGAAUAAUAAAAUAGGACAAUGAUUCUAUUUUGUUGGUUUCUAGGAUCACUGUAAUGAUUAAUAGGGAUAGUUGGGGGCAUUAGUAUUCAAUUGUCAGAGGUGAAAUUCUUGGAUUAAUUGAAGACUAACUACUGCGAAAGCAUUUGCCAAGGAUAUUUUCAUUAAUCAAGAACGAAAGUUAGGGGAUCGAAGACGAUUAGGUACGUCGUAGUCUUAACCAUAAACUAUGCCGACUAGGAAUCAGACAACGUUAAAUUUUUAAUGACUUGUUUGGCACCUUACG